AAGCAGCAUACAUGAAUAUAGGGUGUCUGUCUGCACAUCCAAUGUCAUAAAAUGGCUUCUAAAGAGGAAACUGUAAUACAAUACAAAAGCAAUCAUGAAGGACGUGUUCUUACAAAGUUAAACAGGUUACGUAAAGUUAAAAUGUUUACUGAUGUCACGUUCAAAUUGGAAGAUGGAGAAGUUUCAGCUCACAGAAAUGUUCUUGCUGCAUAUUCUGAUUAUUAUGAGAAAAUGUUCACAUCUGGGUUCAAAGAAGGUUUUAAUAAAGAUAUUGAAAUAAAGGAAAUAAAGGCUUCAAUAUUAGAUUUGUUGUUCACUUUCAUUUACUUACAAGUGAUCGAUAUAAGCGAUAAAACCGUUUGCCAACUUUAUGAGGCUUCAGAUUACUUGCAGUUUAAUGAUGUGAAGGGAUUUUGUGUUAGCUUCUUUAAUGAUGCGCUUGCUGUUGGGAACUGUUUAAGUUUCCGUUCCUUUGCACAAAGAUACCAGCUUCUGGAGUUGGUGGAAAAAUGUAACAAAUUCAUCGUUGACAACUUAGAGUUGGUUUCAAAAGAUUUAAAAUUUUUACAAUUUUCAAUAGAAGAAGUAGAAGCUGUGUUUGCCAAGAAACCAAUACAGAGUACAGUUUUCAGGAGCAUCCUAACUUGGAUUAAACACGACUUUAAACAACGUCAACACUUUUUUGAACGAUUAUUUCAACUGAUAGAUGUGAAACAGUUAUCAACUACAUUUCUUGAAGAAAUUGUUGAAAAAUCUGAGAAUUGGAUAAAGAGGUUGGAAGUUUAUUUUGAUGUUAUCACUCCAGAAUAUAUCAGACGCCUUAAAACAACUGAAGUAAUUGAAAAUGCACCAGAUGGAAAGGAUAAAACCAAUCGCCGUCAGGUGCAUCCACUCCCGAUCAUGCCGCGCUUUCCCCCCGUCUCAGGCAAAAAAAAGUACGGCGAAUCUCUGCCAUGAAAAGUAAAAUGCAAAAUUUGGCUUAAUGACGACUUCACAAAGGUGGUCAACUUCAUUAAACUAACAUCGAGCUUGUAAAAGCAUUAACAGGAAAGAAUAUUUUACCUUGAACAGUGGUCAAUGAAGCAACCAUCCAAGCUCUGACUGGGCGUACAGUCUUUGCUCAAAGCACAAUCAACCACUACAAUAGCAAGAUGUGAUGCAUCUCCUGUAGAUUUGUAAACAAAGACUGUUCAUUCAGUGUCUUUCAUUCAUCUAAUAAUUAACUUUCAAUUUGUCUUUAAUAUUAACACUAAAUAAUUCUCUAUGCAGUUGUAUUGAUAAAGUUUUAUAAAAACUGAGUUUUUAUUACAUUCCUAUGCUAACGUUUCAAUUUUUUGAUGAUAAAACCUACAUUUUUUAGAUUGAAUCUUUAAUUAAUGUGUUUAGUUUUUACUUCUGUACUAAUGUAAUUAGUUUUUGGAUGCCAAGAAUCCUUGUUAACCUGUGGGGUUGUAUUUACUUGUAACGUUGUUUCUUCCUCAAUAGCAUUUAAGUGGUUUUGUUCACCAAGGUGAUCUUAGUAUGUAGCCGAAGAGCAACUCAUUGUUACGUAAAGGCACCCAAAGUUACACCAGAGAUACAUAAACAAGAGAUUGGCAAUGACGUCAUUUCGAUUGUUUAACUUGAGCUCCUUCUUCUAACGUUCACGCCUGACUGAACAGGCCCAUUGUCUUGUUUUUUCCACCACGUGCGGAAUUGCGACAACAGACGAUUUCGAUACGUUUUAGUUUAGUAACUUUCAUUGAACCUGUUAGGUAUAUUCUUUGCCUUAAUCCAAAAUAGGAGUAUCUGUGUAUGCUAAGUAGGUGUUUCGUACAAAUUUUCGUGCGGAUCGGCGCACCGGAAAUACAAAAAGUAAGUGAUUUUGUUCAUUACCUGUCAUAAUUUAAAAGACGUGGUCUAUGACACAUUGCCGUAAUGAACUCGUGAUGGUAUAUAUAAUCAUUCUAAUGUACAGUUUGUAUUCUCGUAAUAAAUUUAAUUUAAUUAUUUUCACAAUAAAUUUAAAAAAAAUAUAUAGCCUUUUAACUCAAGGUGCUUAUGCCUUGAUCUGUCCUGCUGCUCAUACCCAAAUUUUUCAUCCCUGAGGUUUUUUUUGUUAAAGCAGGACAGAGGCUCUUCCUCAAGAUCCAAAUUUGGGUCACAGAGCAGUUAUAUAGAGGGUUAAAACAACAAAAUUGGGUAACAGGUAGCAAGUGCCAAGGGUACAACAUUUUUUUGGAUUUUAUGUUAUUCUAUGUACAGCUGGGUUUAACAGAAAUUAAUUCUGCCCAUAGAUAUAUUAUAAUGUAGAGCAGUGGGUUAAAACAACAAAAUUGGGUAAAAGGUGGCAAAGAUACAACAUUUUUUUUGAAUUUUAUGUUUAGUCUAUGUACAGCUGGGUUAGAAAUAAUAAAAUAAACUUUUACAUGUGAUUAUAUAACUAAAUAGGCUUUCCGUAGAUUUUGCUGAUUAUAAAUGCUGAUGAAAAUAUUUUUGGAAAUCCAUUUCAAUUAUUACAAAAAUAUGCAGCAAAUAUUACGUCAUAGUGUGUGAACUUGCUGUGUUUGAUUAUCAGUUGUUAGGCAACAUGCUGUGGCAGUAAACAUAAACCACUAUUCCUGCUUUCUUGGUUAACUUGUUUUUAUUCCUUUGGUCAUAUUCUUCUGUAAAUUGUAAUGUUUUAAUUUAACAUACAGGUGUUUUCUUGGGAUCAUGGUUCAGUUUUGUUGGCUUCAAUGACGGGCGUGCUUCAAAAUGUUUAGGAACUCCGACUGCUGAAUAAAAGUUGUCCAGCUAAAAACUGAGCAACGUCAGGAUUUUCCGAGCGCCUUCCAAUGCUACGUUGUUGCCCAAAAUAGUGUUCUAGAACGUCUUGAUUGAUUCUUCGGGUGCAGACCAUGGACACUCCCAUUUGCAUUCCAAAGAGACGGAUCGGCUAAGAGUUUGGGCUGCAAUCGAAACAUUCAUUUUUGAAAAUGGAGUGAGGUACACAUGGUUUGUAUUGAGUUUUGGUAAGCAAUGUAAAUCAUUUCCAAUAUCCAUUUCCGCUGUUUGCACAAAAUGAUUCCACAUUAUGUAAUCUUUAAAGGGGGGCCGUUGCAUUAGUCUUGGUCCAUUUGGUUUUGAUCCAUAAAGACAAUUUCUUGCUGUUUUGAUUAGAUGCUUUCUUGCUGUUUUGACAAAAUAAAGUUUCGGGUGUUGCGGAAAUUUAGUUUCAAAUGCAAUAUCUUUAGUAGCCACAUAAUAAACUGUUUCGGGUGUCGCAGAAAUUUGGUUUCAAUUGCAAUUUUUUUUAGGACCGUUUUAAAGUCUUCCGGGUGCCUUUAGACUGACGACAGAUCUUUGAGUCAUACAUGUUUUUCAACUGUUUGGUAUGGCUGAAUGCUCGAAUUUUUACAUAUUUUGAAACUAUCAAUUCCAUAGCUGAAAAAAACUUGAGUAUUGUCAUAGUUACUAUGAAAGGAAAUGUUUGAAACAAUACUUGUCAGGGCGUACUGUUUCAUUGUGUUAAUGACAAUUUGUUCAGUUUUGAUUUGUGUACUGUGGCAACAAUUUACCAAUCUAAAUUCUUUCUCUGCAUGUACCAAAGCCUUUAACAAGUUAUCAGAAAUACUGCAAAGCCCACCAUUGCUGUUAUCAAUCCAAUUUCUCUGUUCUACCAUACCAGUACGUUCAUUUCUUCUAAAAUAGUCCAACAACGGAUGUACAUAUUUAUUCCCAAUGUAUGUUCGAAUAAUGAAACCACCUAAAACAAAAAAAAAGUUAACGAAGCAGUGCUGCAAUUUCUACAAACUUACCAAUGUAAUCAAUUAUUCGCAGAUCUUGCGGAGUUAUGUCUUUAACUUCAUUCUGUUGUAUUGCCGUAACUGCAGUGUAUUUUUGUUGCAUGUCAGUCGUAAUUUUUCGGACAGUCUGCGCUGCUUCUACUUUUGGGAGACCUGGGAAAUGCUGCUUUGCGUUGUAUAGCAUUUGUGUGACUUCGCUGUAGUAUGCAUCCAUGUUUGGAAAUAAAGAAUACAGUUU